UACGUAGGUGGCAAGCGUUAUCCGGAAUUACUGGGUGUAAAGGGCGUGUAGGCGGGUCUGCAAGUCGGGUGUGAAAUAUCCGGGCUUAACUCGGAAGGGUCAUCCGAAACUGCGGAUCUUGAGUGCUGGAGAGGACAGUGGAAUUCCUGGUGUAGCGGUAAAAUGCGUAGAGAUCAGGAGGAACACCAGUGGCGAAGGCGGCUGUCUGGACAGUAACUGACGCUGAGGCGCGAAAGCGUGGGGAGCAAACAGGAUUAGAUACC
rnacentral:rRNA from 1 species